ACCGGCGCACGGUGCGUAACGCGUAUGUAACCUACCUAUAACAGGGGCAUAACACUGAGAAAUUGGUACUAAUUCCCCAUAAUAUUCGGAGAGGCAUCUCUCCGGGUUGAAAGCUCCGGUGGUUAUAGAUGGACAUGCGUUGUAUUAGCUAGUUGGUGAGGUAACGGCUCACCAAGGCAACGAUACAUAGGGGGACUGAGAGGUUAACCCCCCCACACUGGUACUGAGACACGGACCAGGCUCCUACGGGAGCAGCAUG
rnacentral:rRNA from 1 species